CCUACGGGAGGCAGCAGUGAGGAAUAUUGGUCAAUGGACGAGAGUCUGAACCAGCCAAGUAGCGUGAAGGAUGACUGCCCUAUGGGUUGUAAACUUCUUUUAUAUGGGAAUAAAAUGUUCCACGUGUGGGAUUUUGUAUGUACCAUAUGAAUAAGGAUCGGCUAACUCCGUGCCAGCAGCCGCGGUAAUACGGCGGAUCCGAGCGUUAUCCGGAUUUAUUGGGUUUAAAGGGAGCGUAGGUGGAUUGUUAAGUCAGUUGUGAAAGUUUGCGGCUCAACCGUAAAAUUGCAGUUGAAAAUGGCAGUCUUGAGUACAGUAGAGGUGGGCGGAAUUCGUGGUGUAGCGGUGAAAUGCUUAGCUAUCACGAAGAACUCCGAUUGCGAAGGCAGUUCACUGGACUGCAACUGACACUGAGGCUCGAAAGUGUGGGUAUCAAACAGGAUUAGAUACCCCAGUAGUC
rnacentral:rRNA from 1 species